rnacentral:rRNA from 1 species
UGCGUAGGUGGUAUGGCAAGUCAGAAGUGAAAACCCAGGGCUUAACUCUGGGACUGCUUUUGAAACUGUCAGACUAGAGUGCAGGAGAGGUAAGCGGAAUUCCUAGUGUAGCGGUGAAAUGCGUAGAUAUUAGGAGGAACAUCAGUGGCGAAGGCGGCUUACUGGACUGAAACUGACACUGAGGCGCGAAAGUGUGGGGAGCAAACA